ensembl:lncRNA
CAUUGAUCAGAGAAUUUCUCAAAUAUCUACCACAUACUCAGAACUGGGCCUUUAGGCACAUGGUUCAGGUUUCAGAUUCUUCCUGGAGAUGACGUGUAGGAUAAGAAAAGGAUUGAGGAACAGCCUGUGUUGCUUCCUUUAUUAUAAAGAACUUGAGACAUGUGCAGGGACAUCUUAAACACAUGUAGGUGGCCCCUCUUUUAGAAAGGCAGAGAAGAGCCUCGUCAUUAACUUAUUCUAUUCAUUAGUUUUCAUGUC